rnacentral:tRNA from 1 species
AGGAGCUUAGUUUAGUGGUAAAACGGCGGUCUCCAAAACCGCUGUCGUGGGUUCGAUCCCCACAGCUCCUG